rnacentral:lncRNA from 1 species
CUCAUCUGCUCUGUGUCUGGUUAGCAAGAAGAGCCUAAUAAGAUACCAGGUUUCAUAUCUUGGUUCAACCCAGCUCUCUAGAGAAGUGCUCCACCCCAGACUUUCCCUGGGAAAGUGGGAAUCUUGGGCUAUUUGCAUAGAUACUGUAGGGACUGAAAUAUAGCAAGUGUUCUGAGAAGGGGAAUCAUCAUUGGAAAAAAUGAAUCAAAGGAUUAGAUAUGACUGAACCCAGUGGGCAAGCAGAGCUGGCCGAACUCAAGAGACCAAAGGCAGACUGGAACUCAGAAAAGUGUCUUACAGAAGUACAGGG